CAAAAGAGAGAAAGAAGGAAUAGAAAGUGGUGGAAGGGAAGGGCCUCUGGACUGGUUCUCCUGCUCUGCAGCACAGUUACUUGCCUUUCUCGUUGAGGCUCUUGGUCAUCCCAUCUACCACGGUCAAGAAGACUGCCACAUACAGAUAUGGUGAUCAGUAUGUCUGGUCCAGUUUGAAUGCCCUGUCCUGGAGUGGGAAGCAAGUUCUGCACUGUAUGUGGAUGAAGUUAAUCAGUUUGCAGCGAUGUGAGUACUCUGGGCACGGCGGAGGAGCUUCCCACUGAAUGCGGCACAGCGGCACAGCUGCUGAGGAGAGCAUGGCAACAGCAAGAAAUGGAAUUCACUGAAGAAAGCGCUUGACAAGCCAUGUGAGAACCAGCGUGAGCAGCCAGUGGGCACAGCCCCAUCUUCUUGGGUGUGUUUGAACAUGAGAUUCACCACAUCUGAGAGGACUGGCAUAGCAGCUCAGCCCAGCUAGGCUGGCAGCUGCUCUAGGGAUGCUGUGGGAAAGGGCGCAGGAACAGAUGGAGAGUAGUCCUUUCCAGGCUUGACUGUCCUGCAUUCAGGAGGUUGUAUGAGGAGCCCAGGGAACAGACUCAGCUUUCAGCUUGGGCUGAAGUUAUGGCUGGGUGGCAGAGCAAAUCGUGGGAAGGUGUGCGACGUGCAGUGGGAGGCACUGAGCCGCUCUGGGCAGUCUCCCAGCCUGGCCCCUGCACUGGACACUGAAGUGGUUCUCCACAACAUGUGCACGAGGGAAAAGCAUGUCUGCAAACGAGCUGUGCGCUUGGAGAUGAGAAUGUAGCUUUAAUGUGGAGGUUUGCACAUUGAGAUGCACUGACCUACUGGGACAGUUAAUGUGUUUCUGGACUUGCACAUCCCCUGUUUUCAGGCAAACAUUUCAUGCAGAUUUGUAACAUGCGAUAGCUGCCAAGCAUCUUUUACAUAGUCACAGUCUAGUGACUGAAGGAUCCACUAAUUAAGAAGCCCUUAAUUAGGCUUUUAAAUGAUAAACUGUAAUAGCUCUAGUGCAGCUGUUGUAAACUGUAGAGUAAAUUAUACCCAGUUGAAAGAGGCUUUAAUUACGUAUUUAUAUAACAGACUUUAAGGACUUUGAAAGAUAAAAGAAUUUUUAGUGUCUGCAAUUAAAGAAACAAGAGAGUAACAAUAGGGCUCUUAAACCAAUGAAAGCAAGGAAAUUCAAAAUUAAUCUGCAAAGUCACACUGGUACUUUGUUUUAUGCUCGUGGCAUUCUAAUUUUGGGGGUUUGUUUUUAUUCUUUUUGUUUCCAUAAUGCAUGAGAUAAAGAAGUAUUGUCAGUCGGGAGUUGAUGUCCCCUGCUCUCACUUUCCUAGCUUUCAUAGGUCCAUGUGCAGCCUUGGUGAUACUUGAGGAAACUUUCCUUGCUUUCGUUUUUGCAGAAAUUCCAGCAAGAAGAUUAUCAACUACUUUUUCUCCUCGCAUCCCGGUUUACAGAAUGGUUUGUUGUACACAUGCCUUUGUGAAGUCAGCAGGAGCUCAAAAAUCGGUUGGUUUGUUGGUUGUACCUGGAACUAUUCAGCUCUUUGGAGAUGGUGCUGUGGGCUCCCUUUUUGCGGGGCUCCGACCUGCUGAAAUUGAAGAGGGUUAAGUCUUUGCUCACAUUUAGGUCUGGACCAGACUCCAGUCUACCUUCCUGUUAGAUACCAGCACUGCUGCCCUCUCCACAGCUCUGCCUGACACUGCCUCUCUUGGUAACCUCACCAGUAGUCACCAAACUUGCAUGUGCUCUCUGCUCCCCUGGUUUACCCAACCCUGCUUGCUUCCCUUCCUUGCCACCUCUCAUCACAAAUAACAUUGAUGCACAGCAGUGAAUAAACACUUCUUUAUAGAGAAAAAUAAAACUGUCUCUGAUGUG
rnacentral:lncRNA from 7 species